CAUUACCGAGUUUACAACUCCCAAACCCAUGUGAACAUACCUACUGUUGCUUCGGCGGGAUUGCCCCGGGCGCCUCGUGUGCCCCGGAUCAGGCGCCCGCCUAGGAACCUUAACUCUUGUUUUAUUUUGGAAUCUUCUGAGUAGUUUUUACAAAUAAAUAAAAACUUUCAACAACGGAUCUCUUGGUUCUGGCAUCGAUGAAGAACGCAGCGAAAUGCGAUAAGUAAUGUGAAUUGCAGAAUUCAGUGAAUCAUCGAAUCUUUGAACGCACAUUGCGCCCGCCAGUAUUCUGGCGGGCAUGCCUGUCUGAGCGUCAUUUCAACCCUCAUGCCCCUAGGGCGUGGUGUUGGGGAUCGGCCAAAGCCCGCGAGGGACGGCCGGCCCCUAAAUCUAGUGGCGGACCCGUCGUGGCCUCCUCUGCGAAGUAGUGAUAUUCCGCAUCGGAGAGCGACGAGCCCCUGCCGUUAAACCCCCAACUUUCCAAGGUUGACCUCAGAUCAGGUAGGAAUACCCGCUGAACUUAAGCAUAUCA
rnacentral:rRNA from 1 species